rnacentral:rRNA from 1 species
AACGAACGCUGGCGGCAGGCCUAACACAUGCAAGUCGAGCGCGCCCUUCGAGGUGAGCGGCGGACGGGUGAGUAACGCGUGGGAACGUGCCCUUCUCUGCGGAAUAGCCUCGGGAAACUGAGAGUAAUACCGCAUACGCCCUUUGGGGGAAAGAUUUAUCGGAGAAGGAUCGGCCCGCGUUGGAUUAGGUAGUUGGUGGGGUAAUGGCCCACCAAGCCGACGAUCCAUAGCUGGUUUGAGAGGAUGAUCAGCCACACUGGGACUGAGACACGGCCCAGACUCCUACGGGAGGCAGCAGUGGGGAAUCUUAGACAAUGGGGGCAACCCUGAUCUAGCCAUGCCGCGUGAGUGAUGAAGGCCUUAGGGUUGUAAAGCUCUUUCAGCUGGGAAGAUAAUGACGGUACCAGCAGAAGAAGCCCCGGCUAACUCCGUG